GAUGAACUCUGGCGGCGUGCCUAAUACAUGCAAGUCGAGCGAACAGACGAGGAGCUUGCUCCUCUGACGUUAGCGGCGGACGGGUGAGUAACACGUGGAUAACCUACCUAUAAGACUGGGAUAACUUCGGGAAACCGGAGCUAAUACCGGAUAAUAUAUUGAACCGCAUGGUUCAAUAGUGAAAGACGGUUUUGCUGUCACUUAUAGAUGGAUCCGCGCCGCAUUAGCUAGUUGGUAAGGUAACGGCUUACCAAGGCAACGAUGCGUAGCCGACCUGAGAGGGUGAUCGGCCACACUGGAACUGAGACACGGUCCAGACUCCUACGGGAGGCAGCAGUAGGGAAUCUUCCGCAAUGGGCGAAAGCCUGACGGAGCAACGCCGCGUGAGUUAUGAAGGUCUUCGGAUCGUAAAACUCUGUUAUUAGGGAAGAACAAAUGUGUAAGUAACUAUGCACGUCUUGACGGUACCUAAUCAGAAAGCCACGGCUAACUACGUG
rnacentral:rRNA from 1 species